ACAGACAAAAUGUAAAGAAGCUAGUCAGUGUCAGGCUGGAAGAACUGGGAAAUCACGCGGGGAGGAAGAAGGAACCAGCUGGACUAGAGGAUGCAGGGGAUCAGGGUUGGGGUUUUUUUUUUUUUUUUUGGCGGAAGACUUGUGUGUAUGCAAUGGCUUGGUUAUCUUGUAGCAAAUCUAAGAAGGGAAAGAUCUCUCUGGACUCAGGACGAGUCUUCCUGGGCGCCGGACAAGGGAGAAGGCUGCUGUUCAGAAGAAAUGUCAAUGUCUCUAAUGUCCAGCUGGCUGAACUCUGUGGCUUAUAUGGAUUGUUCAAGGAAACCACAACUUGAAGACUCCCAGCUGUGGUCCACAAUCUGGGCCCUACUCUUUCUGUGGGAAAGAUAACAUACUGAUGGAUGCCAGAGAAAUUUAGAAACAAAUGGAUAGACCAAUCACAUCCCAAGCAGUUUGAAUUUUAAGUCUUUGUUAUAAAGAUGGCUUUCUCAGAGGGGUGGAACAUAUUGAAAAAUAUGGAGAAACAGAAGCUCUGAAAUCUUACAUGGCUUGCCCCUUUGGUCCUUCAGUCAGUAUUGGUAUCUCUUUCAAAUCCCUUGGCACUGCCUACUAUACCACACCAACUCUCUAUAAUAACAUGUGAUUCAGCCAAUAAAGUUAGAUUUAGAAAUAACCAUCCCAAUUUGCAUUGGACUAGAAGUAUAGUAAAGCAUUUACAAAUCUGUAUAGCAAAUCAGUUAUUCUGGAUUCAUUAAACUAACAGGGUCACAGAAAUUAUUAAUAGAGCUCUCUCUGGAACCAUAACUAGGAUGAGAAAACCACAGAUUUUCUUCAGGGUGCUCCAAAUUCAGGUAGGCUAUUUUCUACUUGAAAUGGUCCCCUCAUGUCUCAUGGUCUUUUAGUGGAUAUAUGUUAUGGCACCUGUGUCCUUCAGCACUGUUGCUGCCAAACUCUUGUCCAUACCUUGGAUGCCAUCUUCUCUUAGGGUUAUAAUUGUUAAGCUCCUCUCCUAAGGCCUAUUGAUGGUUCCAACAAAUCAUAGUUCAUUUUUGCAUCUCUGAGAUAAGAGAGCUAAUCCUGCCUCUGUCCUUUCUAUUUAUCCUAUUGCUACCCCCAUUGCUUUCUCAGUAAGAUUAAUAGGAGGGACACUUUUAAAUAUAAAGUUUUAUAAAUGCAUAUCAUUAGAGAAUUCUGUGUUUUGGGUUGGGGUCUCUGGAGGAUGUGUCCUGGGUACAACUGUACUGUAUUUGGGAGGACUGACUAUUGCACUUCAACCACAAGGAAUGUGAUAUUUUAAUCCUACACACCAAUUGAAGCGGAAUUUUAAGGACUUUUGACACUACACAUGAACUUCUCAACUUGUCUGGUCCUCCCCUGUUCCCUCCCCAUAGUGAUAGCCUCCUCAGUAGAAAGUCUUCAUU